rnacentral:rRNA from 1 species
CCUACGGGUGGCAGCAGUGAGGAAUAUUGGUCAAUGGACGAGAGUCUGAACCAGCCAAGUAGCGUGAAGGAUGACUGCCCUAUGGGUUGUAAACUUCUUUUAUAUGGGAAUAAAAUGUUCCACGUGUGGGAUUUUGUAUGUACCAUAUGAAUAAGGAUCGGCUAACUCCGUGCCAGCAGCCGCGGUAAUACGGAGGAUCCGAGCGUUAUCCGGAUUUAUUGGGUUUAAAGGGAGCGUAGGUGGAUUGUUAAGUCAGUUGUGAAAGUUUGCGGCUCAACCGGAAAAUUGCAGUUGAAACUGGCAGUCUUGAGUACAGUAGAGGUGGGCGGAAUUCGUGGUGGAGCGGUGAAAUGCUUAGAUAUCACGAAGAACUCCGAUUGCGAAGGCAGUUCACUGGACUGCAACUGACACUGAGGCUCGAAAGUGUGGGUAUCAAACAGGAUUAGAUACCCCAGUAGUC